AAGUACAUGAUGGGGACAUAACCUUAACACUUCCUUAAAUCGCUCUCAUGCUUUGUAGAGUGGUUCCCCAUCUUUUUUAGUAAAACUGGUUAUUUAAUUUCUUAGCUU